rnacentral:rRNA from 1 species
AUGGAUACGCUGUUUAGGUUGGUUAGCCUCCAAGCCUCCGAGCAGCAGCAGCAGCAGCAGCAAUCGGCGUCGUACAACUCCAGGAGCACCACCUCCAGCGGCUCCAGGUCGUCUUCCCACCAGACCAACGCCUCCUACAACUACUACCACCACAGCUCCAGCAGCGGCGGCGGCGGCGGCGGCGGGCAGUACUACUACAGCCAGCAGCAGCAGCCGCAGCAGUCCUACUACCUGGAGCCGUACCAAGAAGAAUGCGGUGGCAACGCCCACCAGCACCACCUCUACAUGGAUGAAGACUUCUCUUCCUCGUCCUCGUCGAGGCAGCACUUCCACUCGCAUGGCGGGGCGGCCCAUCCGCCCACGUCGUCCGCCACGCCCACUGCGCCCACGCCCCCGCUCUCCACCUCGUCCACGGCUGGCGGGGCGGGCCACGCGCUCUUCGAGGCGGCCGACCUGUCCUUCCCGCCGGACCUCAACCUCGACUUCUCGUCCCCGGCGUCGUCGUCCGGCGCCGGGGGCACAGCGUCAUCGGCCGCGGUGGGGGGAGGUGGCGGCGGGAGGUGGGCCAGCCAGCUGCUCAUGGAGUGCGCGCGCGCGGUUGCGACGCGCGAGAGCCAGCGCGUGCAGCAGCUGAUGUGGAUGCUCAACGAGCUGGCGUCCCCGUACGGGGACGUGGAGCAGAAGCUUGCGUCCUACUUCCUGCAGGGUCUCUUCGCGCGGCUCACGGCGUCCGGCCCCAGGACGCUGCGCACGCUCGCGGCGGCGACCGACCGGAACACGUCCUUCGACUCCACGCGCCGCACCGCGCUGCGCUUCCAGGAGCUCAGCCCCUGGUCGUCGUUCGGGCACGUGGCCGCCAACGGCGCCAUACUGGAAUCUUUCUUGGAGGCCGCGGCCGCGUCGUCGGAGCCGCAGAGGUUUCACAUCCUCGACCUGAGCAACACCUUCUGCACGCAGUGGCCGACGCUGCUCGAGGCCCUGGCCACCCGGUCCCCCGACGACACGCCGCACCUGUCCAUCACCACCGUCGUGUCGGCCGCGCCGUCGGCUCCGACGUCCGCCGUGCAGCGCGUGAUGCGGGAGAUCGGGCAGCGCAUGGAGAAGUUCGCGCGGCUGAUGGGCGUGCCCUUCCGCUUCCGCGCCGUGCACCACUCCGGGGACCUUGCGGAGCUCGACCUCGACUCGCUCGACCUGCGUGGGGGCGGCGCCACGACCGGCAUCGCCGUCAACUGCAUGAACUCGCUGCGCGGCGUGGUGCCGGGCGGUGCCCGCCGGCGCGGCGCUUUCGCCGCGUCCCUCCGCCGCCUCGAACCUCGGGUCGUCACCGUGGUCGAGGAGGAGGCAGACCUGGUGGCGACCGACCCCGACGCGUCCGACGAAGGCGGCGACACGGAGGCGGCAUUCUUGAAGGUGUUCGGCGAGGGCUUGCGGUUCUUCUCGGCUUACAUGGACUCGCUAGAGGAGAGCUUCCCCAAGACCAGCAACGAGAGGCUGGCAUUGGAGAGGGGAGCAGGGCGUGCCAUUGUUGACCUGGUCUCGUGCCCAGCGUCGGAGUCCAUGGAGCGGCGGGAGACGGCGGCGGCAUGGGCACGGCGGUUGCGGUCGGCCGGGUUCUCACCGGUGCCAUUCAGCGAGGACGUAGCCGACGACGUGCGGUCACUUCUGCGCCGGUAUCGGGAGGGCUGGUCGAUGCGGGAGGCCGGCACGGAUGACUCGGCGGCCGGAGCCGGCGUGUUCCUGGCGUGGAAGGAGCAGCCUCUGGUGUGGGCAAGCGCGUGGAGGCCAUGA